rnacentral:rRNA from 1 species
UACGGGGGGGGCAAGCGUUAUUCGGAAUUACUGGGCGUAAAGGGCUCGUAGGCGGCCAACUAAGUCAGACGUGAAAUCCCCAGGCUUAACCUGGGAACUGCGUCUGAUACUGGAUGGCUUGAAUUCGGGAGAGGGAUGCAGAAUUCCAGGUGUAGCGGUGAAAUGCGUAGAUAUCUGGAGGAAUACCGGUGGCGAAGGCGGCAUCCUGGACCGACAUUGACGCUGAGGAGCGAAAGCUAGGGGAGCAAACGGG